UCAAAUCAUCGAAGAAACGUCACAGAACAAAAGGUUUCCUGCCGCAAGGACCCUUAAGAUGAUCUAAGCCAGCAGUUUCAAUCCCGGGAACAGUUUGUCCAAACGGCAAUUCAAGCGGAAGGACACGCACAACGUGACCUCAUCCACACCAGGUCCCCACCACCACCCGUUGUCUGUGAAUCUAGUCCUGCAACCCAGUCCUGAACAUACUACAACCUGCAGCCUGCCAACGCCUGCAACCCAUCCCCUCCCUUGUGUCUGCACGGGCUCGUGAUGGGGAGCGCAGAGCACAAAGAUGAGGCUAUGUUACUUCGGAAGCGAGGUCAUAAAGGGCAUAUGGCUUCUACCCGGUUCCCCUGGGAUGCUCCGUCUCAACAUCUAGCCUCUAUGGCCACGUGGAGGUGCUCUGGCCGACUGAGUUUCGUCUUCAAGUCAACUCAUCCCCGAUCCCAGACCCACGAGUGAAGAAGCCUCCAGACUCCAACCUCAGCCAUUCAAGGUCAGACCCCUGGCCUCUGCUGGAUUCCCGGAACGAACAUGCCCUCCAGUCUGGACACCCCAGUGCUGGCCUCCCAAGGCUGGAGUGGUCUGGCCAGCAUGCAAAUGUCGCCGCGUCCCCGUUGCCUCUGCCUGGUGUGUGAAGUCUCGGAGCCUCUGCCAGCAUCCAGAGCGAAGUCCACAGUCUGCUCCACCCGGCUUAGCAGGUGGUAUGUGAACCGGAUGGGCUCACGUCUCCUGCACACCGCACCCACCCCCCUGCUCUCACCUAGUUCUCCCUGAGAUCCCUGGACACCUGUCCCCCAGGAGCUGCCCUCCGGUGGAGGAGGUCAUGGGGAAGACGUGACUGCCGGCUGACCCGAGAGCUGACCCCGGGGAAGUGGAGGGCCUUCUCCCCCUCCCCUGUCCUGGGAAUGUACAUGCAGUCUCUCCCACACCGUUCCCACAGAGGGAGCCGUCUUUAGGGACAGGGGUUGUGGAGACCACCUCGAUGGCGUAUAUGACCGAACCUCACAAAGGCCUCUCUCUAAACUUUUAAGAUUCUAGAAGGUGGGUUCAGGUAUCUAUUCAUCUUGAGGUACUCAAGAUCAGGCUUGUAAGUAAGUUCUCUUGCUUAUUCAACUUGCCAACAUGGAGUGACCCGCCUCUGUCUUCGGUCUCUCCCUGUCUUCUGUGCGUGCGGUCAGUUUCAGACUACACUCCAAAUGCUCCCGGGUUUGUGAACCAGCAUCCUCUAACUGACCUCACUACACCCACCUGUUAGCCUGUCACAGCGCUGCCCCAACGUGGUGAAAUCCCAAGCAUGGUCAGUCCCCUGCCAAACUGUGGGCUCCUGGUGGGUGGGGACCGUGUUGUGCCCACCUCCACGUCCCCAGCAUUUAGCACAGUAUGUGGUGAAUUAAGGUGGGCCCCAAGUGCCCAGUGACUGCUGUCCUUACAAAAGGAGGAGGCAUGCACUCACACAGUCACACACACACGCACACGCGCACACACACACACACACACACACACACACACACACAGAGCCAUGUGAAGGGAUCAUCUACAAGCCAAGGAAGGCCGAAGAUUGCCAGGAGCCACCAGAAGCUGGGAGAAAGGCACAGGCCAGAUUCUCGCUCAGAGCUCCCAAAAGGAGCCCAUCCAGCGGAAACUUUGAUUUCAGACUUCUGGCCUCCUGAGCUGUGAGAAAAUACACGUCUGCUGUGUGGGGCCCCCGGCUCGCGGUAAUUUGUUAUGGUAGCAUCCAGGAGGGCUGGACCCAGUGUCUACGAUGUGGAGGAGGCAUGGUUCUUUAAGGGUUCUGCAGCCCGGAACGGCAAAAGCUCUGAGGAUACAGUGAUCAGUGCUAAGAAGCAGAGUUCCCUCAUCCCAGGCCUUGCAUUAGACCUCUGGAUGUCUAGGCUCAGAAGUUUGGAUUGGCAUCCUUAGACAAUGGCAGCCAUUGAAGAUUUAAGGGUUUUGAGCUUGGGAAUGCCUUGGGGGCAGUGAAGGGACUUUGGGGGAGAAAGGAACCUGGCUGUAGCUGUGUAUGGUUCUCAAGCAUCUGGCAGCAAGUAAUAGAACCAUGACCUAAAGUGGCUUAAACAAAAUAAUUGUUCUAAUACAACAGAAAGUCUAGAGGUAGGCUUCAGGAACGGUGUGAUCAGGGCUCUGGAUCUACUUAGCUUCAGUUUGUCUCCCCUCAUGGGUACAAGAUGUCGUCCAGAGAAACUUGAGUUAAAAAUACCUUCGUGUUCACGUCCAGUUGGAAAUAAAGAGAAGCUUCCCAGGC